GGAAAUGAUCUUUCAGCUGAGAUGGGUGGUACGUUGGGGUUCGAUGUCUUUAGGAUUCCUCAGCUUGAUGGAUGUGUUCUGGAACCUAAGAAGUCCAAGAGGAAAGUGCCAGAUGAUUCAGUUCCUGGUGAGGAUCCUGUUUCUGGUUUGCAGACGACUGCGUUCUUGCUGUAUCCUCACAUGGAAAAGAGAGUUUUCUCAUGUCUCUUCUUAAAAUGGCACCAAUCCCACCAUGACCGCCCUACACUCUUGACCUCAUGCAAACCUAAUCAUCUCCCAAAGGUCCUGCCUCCAAAUACCAUCACACUGGGGCUAGGGCUUCAACCUAGAAUUUUUGGGGGUGUGGAUAAAAUUCAUUCUAUUAAAGAAAUACAUUUAUAAGACUGGCUGUUGGAAGAAUUGGGCAGGAGUGGGAGUAAGUCUUGGUUUGAGAGAAAUGAGAAAUCAACACUUUCAUACCUCACCUUCCUGUUUACCUCUUAGGUCUUGACUUAAAAAUACCCAGCAAUACGGUAUUUCAAGAAUGUGCUUCUUAAAGCUAAAUCACAUCAUUCAGAUAAUAUCUCCUUAUUGGAAAGCCGGAUGUUCAUAAAGCCUUGAUAAAUAGUUCAGCCGCUUUAUGCCUCACGCACUCAAAUCAUUACACAGUGUAUGACUAUAUAAUAAAACCAUUGGUCCUUGGGGAAAACAUUUACUUUCAAGUCGCCUAGAGACUUUCCAAGUUUCUGCUUUUCAAAGACUGUGUCUGAAUUAUGCAAAACUUUCCCCAUUACCUCCAAUUUUCAGGGGUCAAUAUUCUUAUUAUGGAAGAAAACACCUGGUGUUUGCUGAAAAAGACUUUGCUAUGGAAAUCUUUAUUAAAUUAUUAAAUUAGAUGAAUCGGUGGCAGAGUGUUUCUUCUUAUCACUCUUUUGGUGAAUCUAGUCCAGCCAGAAGAGGCAUAUCCAAGAGGACCAAGGGACCCUGGUUCUGAGCCAAUGAUGUUGGACCUGCCACUUGACCCCCACGGCAGCCAACAAAUGGAUUUGUAGCAGCCUGAGAAGGGGCCUGGCAUCUAAGAUAGGCUGGGCUAUUGGAGCCUCUCUUUACUGAUAAUUUUUAUUUAAGAGAUACCUCAGAGGGCUGAAGUUGUGAGAAAUCUGGAGUGGUCUUGACACAAUAGGUGAAAGUUGUGCUUUUUAGUGCACAUAGAAGUCACUCGAGAUGCGUAUUUAACAAGCCAGUUCCUAGAACUCAGCCCCAGAGAUGCAGAUUCCAUUGUUCUGGCAUGGGGCUCAGGCACUGGUACAGUGUUUUCAACCAGUCCCUGAGUCAUUCUUAUGCAUCUGGUCCAAGACUACAUUUUUGGCCUUUAAAAAAAAAUUAAUGUUGUUUCCUAUAAUCUCAUUUGUUAACUUAUUUUCAAGGCUGAGCACACUGGCUCAUGCCUGUAAUCUUAGCACUUUGGGAGUCUGAGGCAGGAGGAUCACUUGAGGCCAGGAGUUCAAGACCAGCCUGGGCAACAGAGCAAGAUCCCAUCUCUACA
rnacentral:lncRNA from 1 species